AUAUUCAUAACAGACACUAAAUAAAAGUAGUGAUAACCAAAUAUUCAUAAUAGAUACAGAUUAAUUCAUAGCAGAUACUAAAAAAUUCAUAAGAGAUGCUGAAUAAAUCAUAGGGGAUGUUGAACAAAUCAUGGUAAGUACUGAAUAAUUCAAAGUGGAUACUGAAUAAUUUACAGUGGACAAUGAAUAAUUCAUAGUAGUCACUAAAUAUUCAUAGUAGAUACUGAAAAAUUCAUAGUAGUCAGCAAAUAUUCAUAGUAAACACUGUAAAAUUCAUAGUGGGUACUGAAUAAUUCAUAGCUGUCAUUAAAUAUUCAAAGUAGAGACUGAAUAAAUAAUUGCAGAUACUAAAUGAUGUAUAAUGAAGACUGAAAAGUUCAUAGUAAUCACUAAAUAUUAAUAGUAGAUACUAAAUAAUCCACCAUGGAUACUGAAUAUUCAUAGUGGACAGUACACAAUUCAUAGUGGAUGCUGAAUAAUUCAUAGUGCAUACGGAAUAAUUUAUAGUAAUUACAUAAUAAUUUAUAAUAGACACUAAAAUUCAAAAUAAUCAUGAAACGUUCAUAACAGGAACUGAAUAAUUCUCUAUACUCACAUAAUGAUUCAUAGUAAAUACUGAAUUCAUAUGAGAUAUGGAAAAAUUCAUAUUUCAUACUGAAUAAUUUGGAAAAAGUACUGAAUAUUUCAGAGUAAUAACUGGAAAAUACAUCUUAAGAGGGUGUUUUUGAAAUCAUUUUCCAAACUGAAUAAUAUUCAGUGUUCGUUACAACGGACUGUAUUUUUAUGAAAACAGAAGCUGAGACAUUGAAGAUGACGGUGGCUGAUGAAGCGGCGGCUGAAGCCACCAAUGAAAUCAUGAGCAUCUGUCUAGAGGGCUCUGAGGAGCAACCUCUGGAGAAACAUCUGGGUAAGUAAAGAAAAUGACCAGAUAGUUAGAUAAUAAUAACACAUUUAGUCUAUAUUAAAACUUAAUAUGAUCUCUAAUCUGUCUGAAUUCCCUCAAGAUCAUCCAGUGAGCACCAACGAUGAUGCAGCUAAAGCCAUCAGAGAGCUCCUGGAGGUCCUGUUUGAUGAUGCUCUGACGGCGAGUGUCCAGCCUCUGGGUGAGUAACGGAAAUAAACAUAUUACAAUGAGAAUGAAAGAGCUGGAAAACUGACCAUAUUUAUUUGUAUUAAAGCAGAAAAUGAGAUGAUGAUGAUGGCUGACGAAGCGGAGGCUGAAGCCAUCAAAGCACUCAUGGACAUCAACCUUGACGAGACUGAGGAGGAAACACUGGAGAAACAUCUGGGUAAGUAAAGGAAAUGAACAGAUAGUGAGAUGAUAGUAACAUAUUUAGUGUAUAUAAAAGCAGGAAUUCAGCUAAUAUGAGAUCUAAUCUGAAUUCAUUCAAGAUCAUCUAGUGAGCACCAAUGAUGAUGCUGUUAAAGCCAUCAGAGAGCUCCUGGAGAUCCUAUUUGAUGAUGCGCUAUCAGCGAGUGUCCAGCCUCUGGGUGAGUAAAAGACAUAAAAAAUAUUAAUGAAAAAUGAAUAAACUGGAAAACUGACUGUAUUUUUAUGAAAGCAGAAAAUGAGACAGUGAUGACGAUGGAGGAUGAUGUAGCUCAGGCAGAAGCCACAGAUGAGCCCAUCAACCUGGACCACGCUGAGCCAUACGAUGACCGAUCUUUUGGUGAGUAAAAGAAAUGGUCAGUGGAAAUAUUUCAGGAAUGAAAUCAGCUGGAAAACUGAUCAAAUUUAUUGAUGUGAAUGCAGAGAAUCAGAUGACGAGGGAUUGGAUGAUUUUGGCAACUAAAUCCCUUAAAGCCCUCAUAGGCAUCCCCCUGGAGACCAUUGAGGAGGAACCUGAGGAGGAACCUGAGGAGAAACAGCUGGGUAAGUAAAGACAUGAACUAAUGUCAUAAAGAAAAUACAUUUAAUUAAUGUUAAAGUAGGAAUUCUAAUUAGUUUUAAUUCAUUAAUUUAAGAUAAUCUGGUGAGCAACACUGAACACAAAACAGGAACCAGUGAGCUCCAGGAGAUCCAGCUGGAGGAAGACGUUCCAGCGAGUGUCCAGCCUCUGGGUGAGUAAAGGACAUAAAAAAUAAUAAUGAAAAAUUAAUAAACUGGAAAACUGACUGUAUUUUUAUGAAAGCAGAAAAAGAGACAGUGAUGACGAUGGAGGAUGAUGUAGCUCAGGCAGAAGCCAUAGAUGAGCCCAUCAACUUGGACCACGCUGAGCCAUGCGAUGACCGAUCUUUUGGUAAGUAAUGGAAAUGGUCAGUGGAAAUAUUUCAGGAAUGAAAUCAGCUGGAAAACUGAUCAAAUUUAUUGAUGAAUGCAGAGAAUCAGAUGACGAGGGAUUGGAUGAUUUUGGCAACUAAAUCCCUCAAAGCCCUCAUAGGCAUCCCCCUGGAGACCAUUGAGGAGGAACCUGAGGAGGAACCUCUGGGUGAGUAAAUGAAAUAAAUCUCAGACUCUGGAGUCGGAACACAACGGAACAUCUGUUCUCACCAAAUAUAAUGGCAUGGAUGUACGGUUCUAGGAAAAGGCCUCAAUUUGUAUAGGACUGUUACAUGAUAUGGAGAUGCUCUGAUCAGUAAAAAGGCUCUUUACACUGAAGCCACCAAAGACACAGUAACUGUCUACCUGGAUGAGACUGAAACUACGGAGAACCUUCUGAGUGAGUGACAGAAAGAACUGUAAAACAUUCUGAUGAUGACUAGAACAGUUCUGGUGUGGCUCUGGUUUUGAUGGAUACUUGAUAGGGUACUUUAGGUGGUUAUGAGGUGGUGGCUAAUUUGUUUCUAGGUAGUUUUAUGAUAUUGUAGCAUGUUCUAGAAAUGUUCUGCAUGUUUUUUCUGGGUUAUUGUUCUCCUACAGUUAUUCUCUGAGUUUUUUCUGACAAAGACUCUUAAUGUGAAGGUGGGGCUGGUUCACCUUUGGGGGUUUGUGUGUCAGAUCAGACAGGAACUGGGUGUCAGUCGGAGUUGAGUGCUGAUAGAGUGCAGAAGUGAGCUGAAUGUAGAGCUGUUAGCUAACGGCUUGUGCAUCAGCCGUGUGUCCUUCAAUAGCAUUAAACAUUACAGUAUUUUAAACGGUUGCUAUGGUGUUGCUAUGGGGUUGCUAAAGUAUCCAAAAUAGUUCAUAGGAUGUUACUUUUUGGUUUUCGUGUUUUGGUCAUUGCUAUGGAGUGGCUAGGUCGUUGCUAUGUUAUCCCAGAUGGUUGCCAGACUGCUGUUCAUUGGUUAAUGUUAUUCACAAUAAAUGUAAAUAUAACAUUUAGAUAAACUGAUUUGAAAUAUGUUGGAACUUAAAUGCUGGCUACUAUUUCUGUGCUCCAGGACAGACUAUCAGAGAAAGGCUUGGUUACUGAUUUAUCUAAUUUUGUUCUCUAGCUGAAAUGGAUGUAAAGAACAGCGACCCUCCUGAGGAAGUAGCUGAGACCAAAAAGAGAAAAACCAGGAGAGGAACAAGAGGAAAAGGACGGAAAAUCAACUAUAAUAAAGACCAACGUCCACCAAAUGACAAACAAGAUGAAGCCAAGAAUGAGAGCAGAGAAUCUGCACAUAGAGGAGGAGCAGAGGGGCUCAAAAGAGAACAGGUACAGGUACAGCUUUUAGUCCUGGUCAUGGUCCCUAAACUGUUAUUCUUUUAGUCUUAGUUAUGGUCCCUAAUCUGCGGAUCAUGUAGAUCUUGUCAUGGUCACUACACUGUUGAUUUUUUAGUCCUAGUCUUAGUCCCAAAACUGUGGAUAUUUUAGUCCUAGUCAUGCUCCCUAAACUAUGGUUAUUUUAGUUCUAGUAAUGGUUCCAAAACUAUGGAUCUUUUAGUCCGAGUCUUGGUCCCUAAUCUGUGGAUCUUCUAGUCCUAGUGAUUAAUCUGUGGAUCUUUUAGUCCUAGUCAUGGUCACUAAACUAUUAAGCAUGUUUCUUUUUAUAGAGAACCCAACAAGUCUUUGUUCCGAGAGGUUCUUCUGGACAGAACUGCAGUGAUGAACGCAGGCAGGUUGUCCAUCCCAGACGGGAGCAGGAAGAGCGGGAUAGCGGAUAUAAUGCAGUCCCGUACACCUUGACCUUCUGGAGGACAGGAUGGAGAGAGGGAAGAACGACAGAAGGUUCUAGAGUGGAGUCCACGACAGAGAGACACGAGGAGACAAGAGAACAUCCUCAUUGGAAAACAGAACAGGUACAGGUACAGCUUUUAGUCCUAGUCUAUGGUCCCUAAUCUGUGGAUCUUUUAGUCCUAGUCUUGGUCCCUAAUCUGUGGAUCUUUUAGUCCUAUUCAUGGUCCCUAAACUGAGGUUCUUCUGGACAGAACUGCAGUGAUGAAUGCAGGCAGGUGGUCAGUCCCAGACGGGGGCAGGAAGAGUUGGAUAGUGGAUAUAAUGCCCUCCCAUACACCUUGAUAGUCUGGGGGACAAGAUGGAGAGAAUGGGGUCCAUUCCACAAAAGAGAGAGAGGAACGUGAGUUCACCCUAAACAGCCACACACACACACACACACACACACACACACACACACACACACACACACA